rnacentral:rRNA from 1 species
AUUUAAAAUUAAUUUGAAUUUUUUUAGAAAAUUUAAUUAAAUUUAAAUAAAAAUUUAGAAUUUUAUAAUUUUUUAGUAUAAAUUAGAAAAAAUAAAUUAUAAUUUAUUUAUUGUAAAAGUAAUUUAAAAUUUAAAAAAGAAAAUUUAAUUUAUUGUACCUUUUGUAUCAGGGGUUAUUAAAAUUAAAUAUUAAAAUUAAUAUAUCUCGAAUUAAAAAGAGUUAAUUUAAUAUAAUAGUUAAUGUAAAAAAAUUAUUAUAAAUAUUAAAUUGGAAAUGAAAUGUUAUUCGAUUUUUAAGAUAUCUAGUUUUUUAAUAUAAAAAUUUAAUUUUUUUAUAAGUUUAAUUAUAAAUUAUUAAAAAAUUUAUAAUUAUUUUAUAAUAAAGAAUUUAUGGGAUAAACUAUGAGUUUAAAUUAAAUAGUAUUUUAUUAAUUAAAAAUUUAGAGAUUAGAAUUUUUAAAAUUUAAGAGUUUAUAAUAAUUUAUUAAUUUAGAAAAUUUAAUUUUUAAAUUUAUUAAUUUAAUAUUAAAAUAAAUUUAUAAAUUUAAUAUAAUUUAUAAUAAUGAUAGUAUUAGUAUAAUAAAAUGUUAAAUUAAUUAGUUUAAUAAAUUAAUUUAAGGAAUUAAGCAAAAUUUAAAAUUCACUUGUUUAUCAAAAACAUGUUUUUUUGAAAUUAAUAAAAAAUUUUCUCUGCCCAAUGAUGUAUUAAAUGGCCGCAGUAAUUUGACUGUGCAAAGGUAGCAUAAUAAAUAGUUUUUUAAUUGAAGACUUGAAUGAAUGAGAGGAUGAAAUUUUAACUGUCUCAAUUUAAUUAUAAAAUUUUAUUUUAAGUUAAAAUUCUUAAAUUAUUUUAAGGGACGAGAAGACCCUAUAGAAUUUAAAAAUUUAGAUUAUUUUAUAAAUUAAAAUUAGAUUUAAUUUAAUUAAAAAUUUUUUUAUUGGGAUGAUAUUUAAAUUUAAUUAACUUUUAAUUUUUAAAUUCAAAAAUUAAUGAAUUAUUGAAUAAUUUAAUUGUAAAAAGAUAAAAUUACCUUAGGGAUAACAGCGUAAUAAAUUUUUAAAGUUCAAAUUAAAAAAUUUGAUUGCGACCUCGAUGUUGAAUUAAAAUAAAAUUUAAGUGAAGAAGCUUAAAAUUUAAGUCUGUUCGACUUUUAAAAUUUUACAUGAUUUG